AUGUGCACCCUCAGGGAUGUCGACUUAAUGGAACCAGUCGUCCCACAAUACAAACUAGGGCCGAUCACCUUCAACCGCACUGAUCGUCCGGUAAACACCAAUCAGGGCAAUUCAGCUGCACUAGUCCUCGACCCAAUAAUUGACGGGUUCCACCUCACACGAGUCCUUAUGGACGGAGGCAGCAGUCUAAACCUGCUUUACCAGGACACAGUGCGCAAGAUGGGCAUCGAUCAUUCGGUGAUCAAACCCACUAAAGCCACCUUUAGAGGUAUUAUACCAGGUGUGGAGGCUAGCUGUACAGGCUCCAUCGCCCUUGAGGUAGUCUUCGGAUCACCACACAAUUACCAUGUCGAAGAGUUAAUCUUCGACAUCGUCCCCUUUCAAAGUGAUUAUCAGGCACUGCUCGGACGAACCGCGUUCGCUCGAUUCAACGCGGUGCCACAUUAUGCCUACCGCAAGCUCAAGAUGCCCGGUCCGCGCGGCGUCAUCACGGUUAAUGGAAAGGCCGAACUUUCCCUUGGUACCAAAGAGCAUACCGUUGCUUUAACUGCAGAAGCAAUGACUGGCACCUUCCAAUCGAUCCUCGAGUCGACAGCCAGGCUCCCGGACACCGCCAAAGGACUCCGAACUACUUCGCGGCAGGAUAGCCCGGCUCGUCCAGAGCUUAAUUAA
rnacentral:rRNA from 1 species